rnacentral:rRNA from 1 species
CUUAACACAUGCAAGUCGAACGGAAAGGCCCCAGCUUGCUGGGGUGCUCGAGUGGCGAACGGGUGAGUAACACGUGGGUGAUCUGCCCUGCACUUCGGGAUAAGCUUGGGAAACUGGGUCUAAUACCGGAUAGGACCAUCGUUUAGUGUCGGUGGUGGAAAGUUUUUUCGGUGUGGGAUGAGCUCGCGGCCUAUCAGCUUGUUGGUGGGGUAAUGGCCUACCAAAGCGUCGACGGGUAGCCGGCCUGAGAGGGUGUACGGCCACGUAGGGACUGAGAUACGGCCCAGACUCCUACAGGAGGCAGCAGUGGGGAAUACUUGCACAAUGGGCGCAAGCCUGAUGCAGCAUCGCCGCGUGGGGGAUGACUGCCUUCGGGUUGUUACUCCUUUCGCUAAGGACGAAGAGAAUAUCGACGGUACUUGGAGAAGAAGCACCGGCUAACUACGUGCCAGCAGCCGCGGUAAUACGUAGGGUGCGAGCGUUGUCCGGAAUUACUGGGCGUAAAGAGCUCGUAGGUGGUUUGUCGCGUCGUUUGUGUAAGUCCGCAGCUUAACUGCGGGA